rnacentral:rRNA from 1 species
GGGUUGUGAGGUUAAGCGACUAAGCGUACACGGUGGAUGCCCUGGCAGUCAGAGGCGAUGAAGGACGUGCUAAUCUGCGAUAAGCGUCGGUAAGGUGAUAUGAACCGUUAUAACCGGCGAUUUCCGAAUGGGGAAACCCAGUGUGAUUCGUCACACUAUCAUUAACUGAAUCCAUAGGUUAAUGAGGCGAACCGGGGGAACUGAAACAUCUAAGUACCCCGAGGAAAAGAAAUCAACCGAGAUUCCCCCAGUAGCGGCGAGCGAACGGGGAGCAGCCCAGAGCCUGAAUCAGUGUGUGUGUUAGUGGAAGCGUCUGGAAAGGCGUGCGAUACAGGGUGACAGCCCCGUACACAAAAAUGCACAUACUGUGAGCUCGAUGAGUAGGGCGGGACACGUGGUAUCCUGUCUGAAUAUGGGGGGACCAUCCUCCAAGGCUAAAUACUCCUGACUGACCGAUAGUGAACCAGUACCGUGAGGGAAAGGCGAAAAGAACCCCGGCGAGGGGAGUGAAAAAGAACCUGAAACCGUGUACGUACAAGCAGUGGGAGCACGCUUAGGCGUGUGACUGCGUACCUUUUGUAUAAUGGGUCAGCGACUUAUAUUCUGUAGCAAGGUUAACCGAAUAGGGGAGCCGAAGGGAAACCGAGUCUUAACUGGGCGUUAAGUUGCAGGGUAUAGACCCGAAACCCGGUGAUCUAGCCAUGGGCAGGUUGAAGGUUGGGUAACACUAACUGGAGGACCGAACCGACUAAUGUUGAAAAAUUAGCGGAUGACUUGUGGCUGGGGGUGAAAGGCCAAUCAAACCGGGAGAUAGCUGGUUCUCCCCGAAAGCUAUUUAGGUAGCGCCUCGUGAAUUCAUCUCCGGGGGUAGAGCACUGUUUCGGCAAGGGGGUCAUCCCGACUUACCAACCCGAUGCAAACUGCGAAUACCGGAGAAUGUUAU